GCCUCCUCCUCCUCCUCCUUCCCUUUCUGAUCCUCCCUCUCUUCCGCCCACACGCAGCACCCACGUUCACGAUUCCGCUACGUUUCGACUCACCAGUCUUGUAUAAACGUUCCUUGAUGGUGGUGUGAGAGGCAGAUAAUGAGGGGUGGAGGAAAAAAAAAAAGCUUAGGAGAUAGAGGUAUUAAGGGAGUGAAUGAGAAAGGUCGAGGUACUGAGGGAGUGAAUGAGAAAGGUCGAGGUACUGAGGGAGUGAAUGAGAAAGGUCGAGGUACUGAGGGAGUGAAUGAGAAAGGUCGAGGUACUGAGGGAGUGAAUGAGAAAGGUCGAGGUACUGAGGGAGUGAAUGAGAAAGGUCGAGGUACUGAGGGAGUGAAUGAGAAAGGUCGAGGUACUGAGGGAGUGAAUGAGAAAGGUCGAGGUACUGAGGGAGUGAAUGAGAAAGGUCGAGGUACUGAGGGAGUGAAUGAAAAAGGUCGAGGUACUGAGGGAGUGAAUGAGAAAGGUCGAGGUACUGAGGGAGUGAAUGAGAAAGGUCGAGGUACUGAGGGAGUGAAUGAGAAAGGUCGAGGUACUGAGGGAGUGAAUGAGAAAGGUCGAGGUACUGAGGGAGUGAAUGAGAAAGGUCGAGGUACUGAGGGAGUGAAUGAGAAAGGUCGAGGUACUGAGGGAGU